GAUGAAGAACGCAGUAAAAUGCGAUAAGUAAUGUGAAUUGCAGAAUUCAGUGAAUCAUCGAAUCUUUGAACGCACAUUGCGCCCGCCAGUAUUCUGGCGGGCAUGCCUGUUCGAGCGUCAUUACAACCCUCAGGCCCCCGGGCCUGGCGUUGGGGAUCGGCGGAGCCCCCCGUGGGCACACGCCGUCCCCCAAAUGCAGUGGCGGUCCCGCCGCAGCUUCCAUCGCGUAGUAGCUAACACCUCGCGACUGGAGAGCGGCGCGGCCACGCCGUAAAACACCCAACUCUUCUGAAGUUGACCUCGAAUCAGGUAGGAAUACCCGCUGAACUUAAGCAUAUCAAUAAGCGGAGGA
rnacentral:misc_RNA from 1 species